rnacentral:misc_RNA from 1 species
AAAGGCCAGCGAUGGAGUUGUUAUGGUGGUGUUUUACUCUGCUGCAGGUAGUGUCGUCUGCUAUAGCAUCUUGCGAAAACCCAGUUAUUUCCAGUGGAAAUUAUACAGCGGUUGUGUUCAGCCAGGAAAUGCUGCUAUUAAACUGUUCUGCUACCUCUUACGAUCAGAUACAGUGGUUUCAUUUGCCCAAUGGAAAAACGAAGGUUGAGCCAUACCAAUUUACUUGGUGUAAAGAUGACACAUAAUGUGCAACUGUUAAACCAGACGUCUCAUCAGUCCAAAAUGUUACCGUCAGCCUCGGAGAAACAGCAACCCUCACGUGCAAGGCAGAUAUGGGGACUUGUUAUGAACUGAGUUUUCCAAAUUUUUCGUGGGACGGAAACGGCAAGGAUAUAUCAGAACUGAACACUACAAAUAGAUACUCAACUGAUGUAAAAUUAAAUGAUACCGGGAAACUGGUGACAACGCUAACCAUACGUGACGUCACAGAAGAAGACCUCCAGUCAUUUGACUGUAUCCUAAUUGAUGACCAUUUUGAAGAAGGCCACGUUAGGAAGACAAUAUUUCUCUCAUUAUCAGAGUCCAGAUCGCAAGCGUCUUCCUCCAUUUACAUUGCCGUUGUCGCCACAGUGACUCUUAUUGCAAUCAUUCUUAUCGUGGUUACUUUCCUCCUAUGCUGUUGUUAUUGCCAAUGGCGAAUUCGGUAUAAAUGUUGGAAGCCGAAAACUCUGAAUAAGAGAGAAGUGAACAAGGCGUGGGAUGCUUUGGUUUGGCAUGAUGAUGAGCACGUGCAGGAGGCUAGUACGCUGCUGGCGAAGUUAGAGAACAUUGGGUACCGAGUCUGUACCAAGGAAGACCAAACUAGCGGCCAAGAUCUACAGGGUUUGGAGGCAUUGAUCGAUUCCAGCGCAUGCGUUAUCAUUCUCCGUAAGGAUGACGGUAUGAUGAUGACUGUCCUGGAUAAAGCUCAGGAGAACAAAUCAGUGGUCCUAAUUCAGACCAAGGCUGAUCUUCCACCCGUGCGUCGUGUGGAAAAGAUUAUGAAUAUAUUUAAGCUUCGAUGCCAGACCAACAGCUACCAUCCUCCCCAGAGUAAUGGGGAGAUAAAUAAAUCUAUGGCCGGCUUCCUGAAACUCUACUGGCCGUCACACGAUACUUCUAUUUUUAACUUUAGAAAAAAACUUAUCCGAGACGAGUUUUACUACAGAUUGAGAUUAAAAUUGCCAAAACAAAGUUUACACGUUGAGGCAGAACACAUACAAAUGCAGUAACAGAAAUGGAUACAUUAAUUGUUUAAUAUGUUAAUAUAUCAAAAUGUAUUAUGAUUUGAACCGCCAUUUAACAGCAUUAUCAUCGUGUUUUUAUCACAAACUCACUUUGAUGGUUAUCAAAGACUAUAUUUAUUCGAUUCAUUUAAAUACCAAUCUCAGAUAUUAAACUUUCCCUCACACCGCCCCUCUCAAAAGAUGUAUUGCAUUGUGUCCUGUAAAAAAGAUGAAUUCAUUUUAAAUCGGUUUCAUAAAUCUUCCAGUUUAGUUUU